rnacentral:rRNA from 1 species
UACGACUACAUAUCAGGCAUAUCAAUAAGCGGAGGAAAAGAAACUAACUAGGAUUCCCUCAGUAACGGCGAGUGAAGCGGGAAGAGCUCAAAUUUGAAAUCUUCAAGGUUCUACCUUGACGAAUUGUAGUUUAAAGAAGUGCUUUUCUGUUAGGAGUUAGGUAAAAGUUCUUUGGAAUAGGACAUCAUAGAGGGUGAGAAUCCCGUAUUUGACUAUUCUUUCUAGCUUUGUGAUACACUUUCAAAGAGUCGGAUUGUUUGGGAAUGCAGUCCAAAGUGGGUGGUAAAUUUCAUCUAAAGCUAAAUAUUGGCGAGAGACCGAUAGCGAACAAGUACCGUGAGGGAAAGAUGAAAAGAACUUUGAAAAGAGAGUUAAACAGUACGUGAAAUUGUCAAAAGGGAAGCGUUUGACGCCAGUGUGGUUUCUACGAAAAUCAAUUUAUGAUGGCUUGAUGCUAAGCUUUAAGACUUUAUCCGCUUGUUGUUUAGUUUUCUUGUCUUUGUGAAUGCACUUUUCGUGGAACAAGUCAACAUCAAUUUCUUUUGCUGUAAAAGGGUAAGAGGAAGGUGGCUUCGGCUUCGGUUGAAGUGUUUAUAGCCUUUUAUCUCUGCAGUCGGAGAGAUUGAGGUCUGCAGCGUAGACUCUUCGGGGUUAGAUACGUCGGUGCUAAGCUAUAGCUUUUCAUAGACAACUUGUUGACUAUGUUUAGUCAUGUGGCUUACCCGCUGGCGCUAUUUUACCUACGCUUAGGAUGUUGACACACGCGCGUGCUCG